AUCUAUGUAACCUAGAAGCUUAGAAUAUAUUUAUGAAAAUGGUUGACACAAACGUACUGAUGAUUUGAAGAGUUAUUUCCCUUAACCUAGGUCUACCUCCUUAAUAGAGUCUAAAGAUACCAAUUGAUUUUCAAACUCAUAAGUAUAUAAGUAUAAGAAAAUAAACUAACAAGGACAUGCAUGGUAAAAAAGAAAAAUAAAACUACAAAAUGACAAAACAACAGUAUAUAGAAAAGUAAAGGCUAAAUACUUAGGAACACGAACAUCGAGAAAAAACAUCCUGCCCUUCAAGGCUACAUGUGGAGCCCAUCGUGUUGCUCAUACAAGAACAAACCCGAUAUGUGUAAAAAAAAAAAAAAAAAAGAAAAAAAAAGGAAAAUCACCAAAGUACUGAACUCAGAGGAAAAUCUAAUCGGAAAGUCCAUUAUCACAUGGCAAAAUCAAAUGACAAAACCCAUCAAAAUCAAAUGGACAAGAACUGUCAUAUUCCUGACUUGGUACAGGCAUUUUCAAAUGUAGCGUUUUAUAGCGUUUUAUAGCGUUAAACCUUUCACUUUGAUGACAGUCUCAUUAAAUUCCGUUAUAUUUACAAUGAUGCGUGGACAAAACAGAC
rnacentral:lncRNA from 1 species